AAGACUUUCCAACUUUACAGUAAGAUUGAGUGUCUCAGCCCAGACAAUGGGCCCCUGCCUCCAGGAGUGUGCGACUGAAAUAAAUCCACGGAGUUGAGCAGCCGCACUCUGUCGUGACCGCGAGCCGAAGCUGGAUUCUGACACACAAACUUCCAUGGAGCAUAAGCCAGGGGAGAGCAUGCAGCGGUGUAUGUCUGAGCUGCCUGCGGAGAUGAGCUCCGGUGCCUGCCUGUAGUUUCCACUUUGGGAUCGCUGGACACAGAAGUGGCAUUUCGGUGGGGGGAAAGCUGCAGACAUGGGCUGAAGGAAUUUGCUCGUUUGUGGCCAUUGCGAGCUGCCCGUCCUUGUAAAAUCCCCAGCUCCCAGACUCUGCCACGCUGCUGGAUCAGUCCUUGCUGGAGUGGUCUGGUUUGUAGCUAGGAAUGCUUUCCUUU
rnacentral:lncRNA from 1 species